rnacentral:rRNA from 2 species
UUAGCCAUGCUAGUUGCACGAGUUCACACUCGUAGCAUAUAGCUCAGUAACACGUGGUCAAGCUACCCUGCAGACACGGACAACCUCGGGAAACUGAGGCUAAUCCGCGAUACCGAUCCCACGCUGGAAUGCCGGGAUCCACAAACGCUCCGGCGCUGCAGGAUGCGGCUGCGGCCGAUUAGGUAGACGGUGGGGUAACGGCCCACCGUGCCGAUAAUCGGUACGGGUUGUGAGAGCAAGAGCCCGGAGACGGAAUCUGAGACAAGAUUCCGGGCCCUACGGGGCGCAGCAGGCGCGAAACCUUUACACUGCACGCAAGUGCGAUAAGGGGACUCCGAGUGCGAGGGCAUAUAGUCCUCGCUUUUGAGAACCGUAAGGCGGUUCUCGAAUAAGAGCUGGGCAAGACCGGUGCCAGCCGCCGCGGUAAUACCGGCAGCUCAAGUGAUGGCCAAUCUUAUUGGGCCUAAAGCGUCCGUAGCUGGCCACGAAAGUCCGUCGGGAAAUCCAUCUGCCCAACAGAUGGGCGUCCGGCGGAAACUUCGUGGCUUGGGACCGGAAGGCUCGAGGGGUACGUCCGGGGUAGGAGUGAAAUCCCGUAAUCCUGGACGGACCGCCGAUGGCGAAAGCACCUCGAGAAGACGGAUCCGACAGUGAGGGACGAAAGCUAGGGUCUCGAACCGGAUUAGAUACCCGGGUAGUCCUAGCCGUAAACAAUGUUCACUAGGUGUGGCACAGGCUACGAGCCUGUGCUGUGCCGUAGGGAAGCCGAGAAGUGUGCCACCUGGGAAGUACGUCCGCAAGGAUGAAACUUAAAGGAAU